AUUGAACGCUGGCGGCAGGCUUAACACAUGCAAGUCGAACGGUAACAGGGUGCUUGCUCCUGGAUUCAGCGGCGGACGGGUGAGUAAUGCCUAGGAAUCUGCCUGGUAGUGGGGGACAACGUUUCGAAAGGAACGCUAAUACCGCAUACGUCCUACGGGAGAAAGCAGGGGACCUUCGGGCCUUGCGCUAUCAGAUGAGCCUAGGUCGGAUUAGCUAGUUGGUGAGGUAAUGGCUCACCAAGGCGACGAUCCGUAACUGGUCUGAGAGGAUGAUCAGUCACACUGGAACUGAGACACGGUCCAGACUCCUACGGGAGGCAGCAGUGGGGAAUAUUGGACAAUGGGCGAAAGCCUGAUCCAGCCAUGCCGCGUGUGUGAAGAAGGUCUUCGGAUUGUAAAGCACUUUAAGUUGGGAGGAAGGGUUGUAGAUUAAUACUCUGCAAUUUUGACGUUACCGACAGAAUAAGCACCGGCUAACUCUGUGCCAGCCGCCGCAGUAACAC
rnacentral:rRNA from 1 species